UGUAUGCAUGUAGAUAUACAUAAAUAAACCCACUCGUAUGCAGUCAGUCUGUAUCGAUUACUUUUAGCGCACCAGAGCUUCGUCGUACAUCAAAUCUAGAUAUUUUAUUAUUUGAAAAUUAUGUUUUAAAUUAUUGUAUUGAAUAAAACCUUGUUUUUUAAUAUUGUGUCAUCUUAAUCUGUAAAUCUUACUGGAAUAAUGAGGUUAAUUGUACUACCUUUCAUGUCGCUGAUCUUCAGCUGACUAUACCAUUAAAGCAUAUAAAAUAUUGCAAUCGUGUUAAGACCUCCAAGCCCUGGACUUAUUAAAAAUUCAGUUUAAAAUGCAAAAUGUAUAGGAAAUACCAAUAUCAAGUAGUUGUGAACCAGCAUAUUAAUAUGAGUAUAAAGAUCAACUUAUGUGGAGAUUUUUAAAGUAUUAUAGGUACCAAAAUUACGCAUGUAAGUGAGAUGAUCAAUAGUAACACUGGAAACGAAUGAUGCCAUGAUGGUACUAUAAUAUUUGGUUAUCAAGUGGUUUUAGCAUCGGCCUCCAUCUGUAGUUCAGUCGUUUGAUCUCCAGUAGGCAAUUAUAUGAAUCUGUAGUUACAGAUCCAUCUGGAGAAAAAGU